rnacentral:misc_RNA from 1 species
AUGUUUGUGUAGCGAUCAAGUAAGCAAGCGGAUCUAACAUCUAAUUUUAACUAGAUUGAUUGUAACAGUACCUAAUGCUUCGGGAAAGAAAAAGCAGAUAUGGAAAGAGUUCAUAUUAGUUGAUUAAGUAAAAGUAGACAUAGCCAUUUUAAAUGCAAUGUGGAUUUUAGUCAGAUAACAUCACAUUGGAAGAUUACAGUGUUUCUUUUAUAGUUAUGAUGAAUACUGUUACCAUAUAUUCAAUGAAAGGAUCCAGUUUGGGAUCUUUUUUCAAAGUGGAAACAAUUUAAGGAUAGUAUUGACUCAGAUUAAGGCAUCGCGUGCUUGCAAUCAAUGAAACUAUUGCCCUCCUCAGUUUGCUCAUUAUUGAUUUUGCCCCUCAUCUUAGUCAAUAAUGGCUUAAUUUUGAAAUGCCUUUAAUUGUUGAAGGUGUGUAGGUAAACACAUGUGCUUACACAACAUAUACAUGUACCAGGGUAUGAACAUUCACUAACUCUCCUAGAUAUUGAGUAAUAUGUUUGCUGUAUGAAAAGUCUGAUGUUCAACAUUUAUAUAUUUCAGAUGGAAUCAAGUUUUAUAUCUCUGAGAAUGAUGUUGUGCUAACUGAAGGAAGAAAUGGCCAUAUACUACCAAAAUAUUUCAAGAAAGCUUAUAAAAUCAACACUAGUAAGCACUUGCAUUUUUGUGUAUUUGGUUUUCAAUUUUAUUCAUUUUGUCUGACUUUUUUAUACCCUUGAUUUUAAAGAUAAAGGAGGGAUACUUACCGUGAAGCUGAAUGAAAAAAAAAAAGUAAAAUAUCCCCGGUAGCUAAAAAAUUUAAUUCACUCUAACUAAUUUGUUUUAUUUACAGGAGAAGAAUUGCCAUUCUAAUAAUUUUGUGGAGAUCCAGAUUUGACAGCUCGAUCUUUAUCAAGUCAACAGACUCACUCUGACUACACAAUCUGUGGUUGUCUGUCGUUGUUUACAGACUUUUAACUUAUAAAGCUACUAUAAUUAAUUUAUUAUGUUACAUUUGUAUAGGAAAAAGAAAGAUAGGUUCUUGACAACCCAAAUUUUUAAUAAUUAUAAACAUUGGUACUUGCACAGACACUAUACUUUUCAAUGUGAAUAUUUAUAUAGGGCAGGAAAGGCAACAGAUUAAAAAACGGGGUUCUUGCAAGAUGCUGCAUUCAGUCCAAGUCUAUGCAAAUAAGUGUAAUAUUCUUCAUUAGCACUCUUAUUUGUUGUAUUGUUGAGCUAUGAUAUAGAGAAAAUUUAAAAUUAUAAAUGGGUUUUGGCAGAGUUGUUGCCCUUUGACAAUUUCUUUUGUCAUGUGUACUGAUGUUCAGCGUAUUUUGAAGCAGCUGUUCAUCUUUAUACAUCGUACCAAUUAGAAUGCAUCUCUUCUGGCCUGGUAAUUAUGUCAUAGUUAUACAUCUAGUUUAUCAAAGCAUUAAUACCAAUUGGAUAGUAUUUAUGGAUUGUUAUCCCUCCCGCAUGCUCCUCACGGGUUAGAGGUUUGGAUCAACUGACCCAGCUAUUUUGUUGCUUGUUUAUAUAAUGUAUUGCCAUUCCAUGGAUCCUUUGCACUGUUGUAAUAUAUUCAUGUGACUGUUAAAGCCAUUGGGUCUCUUGGGGGUUUUUUUAUUGUAAAGUUCUUAUGCCUCUUGUUUUAUAUUGUUCAUUUGAUGAGUGUCAGACAGAGGUUUUUAAAACAGAUGUGAUAUAAAGUAUUUAUUUCCAUAUUAAUUUAUACAUAUUGUUGCAUGGUUUUUGAAAAUUGUUAUCAAUUAUUUCUGCUUUUACUGUAGUUACCGGUAGAGUGUUUGACACAGAAUAUGAUUUUGUUUCAUUUUUUAUGUUGAAAAGAUUCUACAAUAGCUAUGAAAUUUUCAUUAUUUAUUACCUGUACAGAAGGUAGAAAAACUUUUAAAAUGUUGAAAUUUAAAAAUAAAAAUCACGAACAACC